GCCGGUGUAGCUCAGUUGGUAGAGCAGUUGAUUUGUAAUCAUCAGGUCGGCGGUUCAAAUCCGUUCACCGGCUCCA
rnacentral:tRNA from 4 species